CUAGAAAGGGACGUCUCUAAUGUUUUCUAGGCAAACAGGGUGUGCUUGUCGAAGAGAUAUUCUGCCGAGCCAGAUUCGGGCGCUCCCAUCUUGCGCAAGUUGGUCACGUGGUCACUCAAUUCUUUGAUGGCUUUCACCUGCUCAUUCAGGGCACUAAUAUACACAUGAUGAUACUUAAUUCUCUCAGAAAACCUUUGGCAAAGACACUUUCUACAUCUUGAAGGCAAGGAAUCUGAAUCUUGAAGAGAUUAAAUGAAUUGUCCAAAGUCACGUGGGGGUUUGGGAGAAGGAAAAUCAUGAACACACAUUCUUCUACUCUGGAGAAGUGGGGAAGGUGACCUGGGAAACCAUCUGAAAGGGAGCAGGAUGGAUUCUAUAAAAUAUAGAGUGUUCAAUGAAAACAACCUGAUGCUCCUCCCAGUACCAUCACAUUUUUCUAGCUGCAUAUCCUUAGGCAUGAGGCUGAAGCCAGGAAAUGACCCAACAUUGAGGGUAAUCUGGGCACUGAAGGCACUACAAUUCCCAGGAUUUUUCAAGAAAAUGUCGAAUGUGCUGCCACAUAUGUCGGAUGCACAUGGAUCCCCUCCCACAAGGAAAAUCACGAUUGAAGAUCACCUCCUUGAAGAUGUCGUAUUGGGAGCGGUGUUUUUCCCUGUUGCUGACAG
rnacentral:lncRNA from 10 species